UACGUAGGGGGGCAAGCGUUGUCCGGAUUUAUUGGGCGUAAAGAGCUGUAGAGCGGCCAGAUAGGUCCGUUGUGAAAACUGGAGGCUUAACCUCCAGCUGUCGAUGGAAACCAUCUGGCUAGAGUCCGGAAGAGGAGAGUGGAAUUCCUGGUGUAGCGGUGAAAUGCGCAGAUAUCAGGAAGAACACCCGUGGCGAAGGCGGCUCUCUGGGGACGGUACUGACGCUGAGACGCGAAAAGCGUGGGGGAGCGAACAGG
rnacentral:rRNA from 1 species